rnacentral:rRNA from 1 species
AUGGCGGCGGCCGCGCUCCUCCUCCUCCUGCUGCUGUGGCCGGCCGUGGUGUAUGCCUCCGGGGAGGGGCGGCGGCUGCACACGCUCUUCUCGGUGGAGUGCGGCGACUACUUCGACUGGCAGGCGGUGGGGCUCCUCCACAGCCUGCGCAAGGCGGGGCAGCCCGGCGGCGUCACCCGCCUCCUCAGCUGCGCCCCCGACCAGCUCCCCUCCUACCGCGGCCUCCGCAUCGGCCACACUCUCCAGGUCCCCUCCUACAGCCGCCACCCCCGCACCGGCGACUGGUACCCAGCCAUCAACAAGCCUGCAGGGGUGGUACAUUGGUUGGAGCACAGCCCAGAGGCGGACAACGUCGAUUGGGUCGUGAUCUUGGAUGCAGACCAGAUUGUUAGAGGCCCGAUUAUCCCUUGGGAACUCGGAGCAGAAAAAGGCAAGCCUGUUGCAGCUUAUUAUGGGUAUUUGAAGGGUUGUGAUAACAUCCUUGCACAGUUGCACACUGCACAUCCAGAAUUUUGUGACAAAGUUGGUGGAAUUCUGAUCAUGCAUAUCGAUGACUUAAGAGCUCUAGCCCCUCUGUGGCUGUCAAAAACUGAAGAAGUGAGGCAAGAUAAGUCCCACUGGUCAACUAAUAUUACUGGUGAUAUAUAUGGCAUGGGGUGGAUCAGUGAGAUGUAUGGGUACUCAUUUGGCGCUGCAGAAGUAGGUCUAAGACACAAGAUAAAUGAUGACAUAAUGAUCUACCCAGGCUAUACUCCAAGAAUUGGCACUGAGCCACUUAUCCUGCACUAUGGUUUGCCAUUUAAAGUUGGAAAUUGGUCCUUCAGCAAGUUAGAACACCAUGAGGAUGGUAUAGUUUAUGACUGCAACCGCUUAUUUCCUCCACCUCCAUUCCCUAGAGAGGUUGAGGUGAUGGAAUCUGACCCAAAUGUGAAACGGGCCUUAUAUCUAAGCAUCGAGUGCAUUAACACAUUGAACGAAGGGCUUCUUUUGCAUCACACAUCUGUUGGCUGCCCGAAACCACAGUGGUCAAAAUACUUGAGCUUCCUUAAAAGCAAAAGGUUCUCAGAGCUUACAAAACCAAAGUACUGGAACAGUCUAAAAGUUGAAAACAAAUUGACUGUACAGCAUGUUGCAUUGUCCAAAAGCAGACAUCCAAAAAUACACACCCUUUUCUCAACCGAAUGUUCGUCGUAUUUUGACUGGCAAACUGUUGGGCUCAUGCACAGCUUUCGUAUAAGCGGUCAGCCUGGUAAUAUUACACGCUUAUUGAGUUGUACAGACGAGGAAUUGAAGAAUUACAAGGGCCGUGACCUUGCUCCCACACAUUAUGUUCCAUCUAUGAACAGACACCCACUGACAGGGGACUGGUACCCAGCAAUUAAUAAACCAGCAGCAGUUCUCCAUUGGAUUAACCAUGUGCAGACUGAUGCUGAGUUCAUUGUUAUCUUGGAUGCUGAUAUGAUCAUGAGAGGUCCCAUCACUCCAUGGGAGUAUGGUGCAAAACUUGGUCAUCCUGUUUCAACUCCCUAUGAUUAUCUCAUUGGGUGCGAUAACAUACUUGCAAAGAUACACACUCGCAAUCCAUCUGCAUGCGAAAAGGUUGGUGGUGUCAUUAUCAUGCAUAUUGAUGAUCUCCGACGUUUUGCUAUGCUGUGGCUGCACAAAUCAGAAGAGGUUCGUGCAGACAAAGAUCACUAUGCGACAAACAUUACUGGUGAUAUAUAUGCCUCUGGCUGGAUAAGUGAGAUGUAUGGUUACUCUUUUGCAGCAGCCGAGCUUAACCUGCGACACAUCAUAAGGAGUGACAUAUUAAUAUAUCCAGGCUAUGUUCCUCUGCCUGGAGUAAAUUACAAGGUUUUCCAUUAUGGGCUGAGAUUUGGUGUUGGUGAUUGGAGCUUUGACAAGGCAGACUGGAGAAACGCUGAUAUUGUAAACACAUGUUGGGCCAAGUUCCCUGAACCACCUGAUCCAUCUGCUAUCACGAAAGGCGAUCAAAAUGCACGGGAGAGGGAUCUUCUCAGCAUCGAGUGUGGCAAGGCUUUGAACAAGGCCCUAUACUUGCACCACAAACGCCGAAAUUGCCCUCGACUAAGCACCACCAUAGGCAGCAUCUCGAAGAAAAUUGAGGAAGUUUUAACCUCCAAUAAAUCAGAGAGAGUUACACAACGGUCGUCCACAACUACAAUUGGACGAAAUGUGGAGCACAUGGAUGUGACCAGGCAGCAGGCUGUUGAAAGAGCCACAGACACUGUAUCACGUGUACAUGGAUCAAAGAGACUAACCAGAUCAUCAAAGAUGUGGAUUUUUGCUGUUUGGGCAACAUCUGUAGUAGUUUUUUUACUGGUAAUCUCGAUGUUUUUCUCGGAUCGAAGGAGAAGUGUUUCGAGAUCUAGGGCUUCCAGAAGCCAGAAGGCCCACAGCUUGACUAUAAAACAAACAGUAUGA